CCUAAUUAAACCAGAUGCAAUAUCAAAGGCUGGAGAAAUAAUUGAAAUAAUAAACAAAGCUGGAUUUACUAUAACCAAACUCAAAAUGAUGAUGCUUUCAAGGAAAGAAGCAUUGGAUUUUCAUGUAGAUCACCAAUCAAGACCCUUUUUCAAUGAGCUGAUCCAGUUUAUUACAACUGGUCCUAUUAUUGCCAUGGAGAUUUUAAGAGAUGAUGCUAUAUGUGAAUGGAAAAGACUGCUGGGACCUGCAAACUCUGGAGUGGCACGCACAGAUGCUUCUGAAAGCAUUAGAGCCCUCUUUGGAACAGAUGGCAUAAGAAAUGCAGCGCAUGGCCCUGAUUCUUUUGCUUCUGCGGCCAGAGACUGUUGGGAAAGAUCCUGAUGGCUAUCCGAGAUGCAGGUUUUGAAAUCUCAGCUAUGCAGAUGUUCAAUAUGGAUCGGGUUAAUGUUGAGGAAUUCUAUGAAGUUUAUAAAGGAGUAGUGACCGAAUAUCAUAACAUGGUGACAGAAAUGUAUUCUGGCCCUUGUGUAGCAAUGGAGAUUCAACAGAAUAAUGCUACAAAGACAUUUCGAGAAUUUUGUGGACCUGCUGAUCCUGAAAUUGCCCGGCAUUUACGCCCUGGAACUCUCA
rnacentral:sRNA from 1 species